rnacentral:lncRNA from 1 species
CUCCAGUGUUUACUUCACAAAAUAAAAGGUCUAGAAUGACAAUAAAAAUAUCUCCUAGACCACCAUCAGUACCCGGUAAGGUGUUGGUCUGCCGUACUUACAAGAAGAAUCAUGGCGACCAAGAGUGCUAUCAUGUCACUCGAUCCUGUUUCAAAUGUGGUAGCCAAUAGCAUCUGAUUCGCAACUGCCCACUUAUGAUGGAACAGACGAAAGCUCCAAAACAGGGACGAGUGUAUACCCUUACUGCAUCAGAUGCUAAAG